rnacentral:lncRNA from 1 species
AAAAGGAGCCAUAAAAUUGAACUUCCCACUAGCCAUUCUUUCCCUUUUUGCUCUCUGCACACUUCAGCUGGGAAUCUUUAUGCAGGUAGUAGUUAUUUGACUUGUAUUAUUCUGGUUGUAAUAAAGUUAUAUCUAAGAAGCUAAGAGAGCUGACCAACUGAGAAGGGAAAGCAGUUUGUUCUGACCGUAAUGACAAAAGGAGUUCAAGGCACACCAAACAUUUUUCUCCCAUUUAGAAACAUUCUAGUAUUUAAGCUUAUAAAUACUUGGGCUUCCCAGGUGGCUCAGAUGGUAAAGUGUGUGCCAGCAAUGCGGGAGACCUGGGUUUGAC